UUUGGGAUUUGCCAGGAGAAAUCCAGGGGGUGGAUUUCCAUCCUAUUUCUGCCCUUCAAGGAGAUGAAGGUUGGAAGUUUCAAAAUUG